UUAAAUCUGAAUUUUUUCAAAUUAGAUUGAUUGUUAGACUGAAGUCUAACAAAAUGAGUCUAGACACAAUUUCACAUGACAGUCCUUAAAAGAGUUGAAGACAGGUAUCAUAUUCUUCUGUAGUGAGGAAAUUGGGGUAUUGAUUAAGAUACUGAUUAAAAUAAGAUGUUUGAUAAAGAGAUCUCUGAGGGUACAAGCAAGGUAGAGAGCAGUGUGUUUGGAGACCAGAAUUUGGAAGGAAGAACACAGGAACAGAUUCUGGUCAGUUGGUGAGGUCCUCUCGCUGGGACACUCACUCACUGGGCUUCAGUGGGUAAGUUUGCUUUCUCUGGCUGCUGUAGGAGACAGACAUCUGUGACUUUACUCUUGGCUGGUGUGAGGGAAGAGAGACUUCUGAAUGCCAUCUGAAGAGGGUUUCCAUUUUCCUGAUGGAGAGAAGCUGGUAGAUCUGCAGUGUUGGAGAAGGAGAAAGAUGGAAGCUAUGUGUCUGGUCUCUGGGCAAUAUCAAGACUCAGCCCUUCACCAAGACAGGAGUAUGGCAGACCCAGAGAGGAUGACUCCUGGCUUCUGAGCAGCCAGAUCCCAGGCCUUGGUGACCUUCAAGAAUAGACUUCACCCAGGAGGAGUUGGGGUAGCUGGACCCUUUUCAGAGGAACUUCUACAUGAAUGUGAUGUUGGAGAACUAUAGGAACUUUGUCUUCCUGGGGCUUCCUAUAGCCAAACCUGAUGUGAUAAAGAGGAAAAGAACCUUGGAUGCCAGAAGAAUUCCUAAAUACAAUUUGUCCAGGGCUUCUAGUUCCUAGAGAAAAUUUUAUCUCCUGUUUUCAGCAAGGGGAAGAACCAUGGCUGCUGGAGUAAAAAGGCCCAAGGAGCUCUUAUCCUGAGGCCAAGACUGAUUUUGAAGUGAAAAA